rnacentral:sRNA from 1 species
UGAUUCUGUGACUGAUUUAAAAUGCUU